UGUUUCCGGUGAGUGACUAAGGGGUGUGUUCCAGAUAUCGUGGGGUAUCAGGGAGAGUCAUUUAAGGCAGUGUGGGCAGAAGGUGGGCCUGGUUCUGUCGGGUGCUUUGCAGUGGACUGAUAAAGAUUCAUGGUCUCCAGCGAAGAAGCAAGUGCAGUCAAACUGUUCUCCAGAAAUGAAGAAAGCGUGGCUUAGCCAGCAUUGGUGGAUUUCCAAGUCCAAGCCACAAAGAUCUGCAAGGUUUAUGGGAGCUGGAAACUUUAUGGAGGCUGAAGAAGGUAGAGGUGAGGAUACCGAGGUUGUGCGACAUAUGGGCAUUAUGAGACUGACUUUUUGAAAUGCCGGCGUGAACGGGGGAAAGAUAUGACAGACCAGGAAGCACUAGAAGAGGCUUUAUAGUCAGUCCAGCGAUUCAUUCUUCCAGACCCAUUUGACCGGCUAUUCAGGCAGAGCCACAUCACAUUGCUGACUCGUGUUCAGGUUGUGAUCUUGGAACUGGCAGUCCUGAAGGAAUAACCCCCCUCCCCCAGUGAGGUGCCGGCUCUUCUGGUUGGGAGCUUUGCCAUGGCCAGAGCCAAGACCCUCCAUCCAGCCCUGCACGCCCACAAAGAUGAAAAUCCAAUUCCACAUGGGAGGAAGAAAAAAGAAAAGGGGGGAAAGGGAAAAGAAAAGAACGAAAAGAAACACCGACAGCAAUAAAAGCUUUGAAGAAAA